rnacentral:rRNA from 1 species
UACGGAAGGCAGCAGUGGGGAAUAUUGCACAAUGGGCGCAAGCCUGAUGCAGCCAUGCCGCGUGUAUGAAGAAGGGCCUUCGGGUUGUAAAGUACUUUCAGUCGUGAGGAAGGUGUUAAGGUUAAUAACCUUAGCAAUUGACGUUAGCGACAGAAGAAGCACCGGCUAACUCCGUGCCAGCAGCCGCGGUAAUACGGAGGGUGCGAGCGUUAAUCGGAAUUACUGGGCGUAAAGGGCACGCAGGCGGUUAAUUAAGUUGGAUGUGAAAUCCCCGGGCUUAACCUGGGAAUGGCAUUCAAGACUGGUUAGCUAGAGUCUUGUAGAGGGGGUAGAAUUCCAUGUGUAGCGGUGAAAUGCGUAGAGAUGUGGAGGAAUACCGGUGGCGAAGGCGGCCCCUGGACAAAGGACUGACGCUCAUGUGCGAAAGCGUGGGGAGCGAAACGAGGGAUUAGAUACC